GACGCAGGGGGCCAGCGUUGCUCGGAAUUACUGGGCGUAAAGGGUUCGUAGGCGGUGUGGCAAGUCGGGAGUGAAAUCUCUGGGCUUAACUCAGAGGCUGCUUCCGAAACUGCCGUGCUAGAGUGCGGGAGAGGCGAGUGGAAUUGCAGGUGUAGCGGUGAAAUGCGUAGAUAUCGGGAAGAACACCCGUUGCGAAGGCGGCUCUCUGGAACGCAACUGACGCUGAGACGCGAAAGCGUGGGGAGCAAACAGG
rnacentral:rRNA from 1 species